UGGGGAAUAUUGGACAAUGGGCGAAAGCCUGAUCCAGCAAUGCCGCGUGUGUGAUGAAGGCCUGCGGGUUGUAAAGCACUUUCGUUGGGGAAGAAAUGCUCAAAGCUAAUACCUUUGAGAGUUGACGUUACCCAAAGAAGAAGCACCGGCUAACUCUGUGCCAGCAGCCGCGGUAAUACAGAGGGUGCAAGCGUUAAUCGGAGUUACUGGGCGUAAAGGGCGCGUAGGUUGAUAUUUAAGUCGGAUGUGAAAUCCCCGGGCUUAACCUGGGAAUGGCAUUCGAUACUGGAUAUCUUGAGUAUGGUAGAGGAAAGCGGAAUUCCCGGUGUAGCGGUGAAAUGCGUAGAUAUCGGGAAGAACAUCAGGGCGAAGGCGGCUUUCUGGGCCAAUACUGACACUGAGGCGCGAGAGCGUGGGGAGCAAACAGGAUUAGAUACCCCGGUAGUCCACGCUGUAAACUAUGAGAACUGGGUGUUAGAAGACAGAAUACAGCAGAUAGGUGGCAGACUUUGGUAUUGUCUGUUUCCAGUCUGUUGUCUCCUGUCUUCUGGUACCGAAGCUAACGCGCUAAGUUCUCCGCCUGGGGAGUACGGUCGCAAGAUUA
rnacentral:rRNA from 1 species